rnacentral:rRNA from 1 species
AUUGAACGCCGGCGGAAUGCUUUACACAUGCAAGUCGAACGGCAGCACGGACUUCGGUCUGGUGGCGAGUGGCGAACGGGUGAGUAAUGUAUCGGAACGUGCCCAGUCGUGGGGAAUAACGUAGUGAAAAUUACGCUAAUACCGCAUACGAACUAUGGAUGAAAGCGGGGGAUCGCAAGACCUCGCGCGAUUGGAGCGGCCGAUAGCAGAUUAGGUAGUUGGUGGGGUAAAGGCCCACCAAGCCAACGAUCUGUAGCUGGUCUGAGAGGACGACCAGCCACACUGGAACUGAGACACGGUCCAGACUCCUACGGGAGGCAGCAGUGGGGAAUUUUGGACAAUGGGCGAAAGCCUGAUCCAGCCAUUCCGCGUGCAGGAUGAAGGCCCUCGGGUUGUAAACUGCUUUUGUACAGAACGAAAAGGUUUCUACUAAUACUAGGAGCUCAUGACGGUACUGUAAGAAUAAGCACCGGCUAACUACGUGCCAGCCGCCGCGGUAA